AUGAGGGCCCCUGUGCAGCUCCUCAACAUCCUGCUGUUCUGUGUUCUGGGAUCCAAUGGUGAUAUUGUGAUGACUCAGCAUCCACUCUCCCUGUCCAUCGUCAAGGGAGAGCCAGCCUCCAUCUCCUGCACAUCUAGCGAGAGUAUCCUAUAUAGUAAUGGAAAAACCUAUCUGAACUGGUUCCAUCAGAAGCCAGGCCAACCUCCAAAGCGCCUGUUCUAUCUAGUAUCUAAACGAGACCCUGGGGUCCCAGAUAGGUUCAGUGGCAGGUCAGUGUCUGUCACUCGCAGAGUGGACAUGAGGGCCCUUGUGCAGCUCCUCAGCUUCCUGCUGCUCUGGCUCCCGGGCGCCAGGUGUGAUAUCCAGAUGACCCAGCCUCCAUCCAUGUCUGCAUCUCUGGGAGACAAAGUCACCAUCACCUGCAAGGCCAGUCAGAGCAUUGGCAGUUAUUUAGCCUGGUAUCAGCAGAAAUCAGAGAAAGCUCCCAGGCUUCUGAUCUACACGGCAACCAACUUAGGACCAGACGUUCCUCCCCGGUUCAGUGGCAGUGGAUCUGGGACAGAUUUCACUCUCACCAUCAGCAGCCUGAAACCUGAGGACGUUGCCACUUAUUAUUGUCUACGGCAUAAUGCUUACCCUCUCACAGUGAUACACGCCAGCACAUAA